GCUCACGUAGCUCAGUUGGUAGAGCGUAUCCUUGGUAAGGAUAAGGUCACCGGUUCAAUCCCGGUCGUGAGCUCCA
rnacentral:tRNA from 1 species